rnacentral:lncRNA from 1 species
AUCCAGCAGGGGUUAGUAUUGGUUCGAGGCCUCUUCGCUGCCAGGGAUUUAGCUUUAGAGGUGGGUUUAUCAUCGGAUUUCUACUCCCAAGAUCUCGUUGGUCAACAUGUGUAGUUUGGGUUUACACGUUAUUAUUGUUCUAGCUCAAAUUCUUGGAUUAUGCAUGCUUUUGACAUAUAUACUGAAUUUGGAGCAUAGUAUUAACUGUUAAUAAUUAUACAUGUUGGACUUGAAUUUGA